AUUUUGUCUGCUCGACCAAAAUACUUCUAAAAGGUCAGAAGGAAAUUCCAGCUUUCAGCUCUCUCAAAACAUGGCGGAUUGGAUAUGAGUUAUCUCUCAAGUUGUUGGAAUAAGUAUUCUCACUUCCGCAAAUUCUUUUCGAUUACUAGAAUUCUCCUUACCCUUUUUGUCUUUUCAAAUUUUAGCUUUAGAAAUCCAUCUGGGUCAUUUUCACACACUAAUGUGUGUGUAUUAGUUUCAAGAACUUGUUCACGAAGGAGAUUUGGUUUCCAGGUAUUUACUUUGCUACCAUUUACAAGUAUUUUACUGUUUGUUUGAAUUAGAGAAGCUAAGAGAUGGAUAACAUCAUAUACUCGCCUUGCAAUAUGUAUCCUCUAAUUGAACACCAAUUUAUUAGAGCUCCAAGACAAAUAUUAGGAUGUUCAAGUAAAUGUGGCGUACACUUGUAUUUGGCACAAUCAAACACUAGAAUUUAUCAUCGAAAAUUAACCAUGAACCUUCGUUAUCCGCGGCGAACAAAGAUUUUGCCAGAUAACACUUUCUUAAGGAAGAAAACAAGCCCAGUGAAUGAAGAACUUGGUAAUAAUGAUGAGAAUUCAAUGGCUGAACCUCUUGUGUUUGAUUUUGUUGAGGAGUCUGAAAUCAUUUAUGAUAGUAACAGUAGGGACAAUGAUGGUGAAGAUAAAGGAACGAGAGAUGACAAGAAUGUAGAACAAGAGAGUGAUGUUGAUUGGAGCUCGGAUGAGAUUGAAGCAAUAUCAUCUCUAUUUCAAGGGAGGAUUCCCCAAAAGCCCGGAAAUUUGCAUAGGGAAAGACCUCUUCCUCUUCCACUACCUUACAAGAUUCGACCUUUACGACUUCCGGCUCCCAAGAAUAUCACUCUCCCUUCACGCAAGUCAGUAUCUGGACAGCUGAACAAGAGCCCAAAUUUUUUGAUUGAGCUAGCGAGAGAAAUUAGGCGCCUACCACCUGAUGAAGAUGCCUCUGUAGUUCUUGAUAACUAUGCUCGCUUUAUUCGCAAAGGGUCUUUGUCAAUAACAAUCCGUGAACUUGGCCAUAUGGAUCUUCCUGAUAGAGCUUUGCAGAUAUUUUGUUGGGCUCAGAAGCAACCCCUUUUGUUUCCAGAUGACCGAAUUCUUGCCUCAGCUGUUGAAGUUUUGGCCAGGUCAAGAGACUUGAGGAUGCCGUUUAAUUUUGAAAACUUUGCUGCUAUGGCUAGCAAGAAUGUAUACCAGGCGAUGAUUAGUGGUUUGAUUAAAGGGGGGAAUUUGAAGCUUUCUUGGAAGCUUCUCUCAGAUGCUAGGAAAGGGAAUAGAGUGUUGGAUGCAAGCAUUUAUGCUAAGCUCAUACUGGAACUUGGGAAGAAUCCAGAUAAGUAUGGACUUGUUGCAGAGUUACUGGACAAGUUAGGAGAAAGAGAAGACUUGAACCUAAUACAACAAGAUUGUACUGCAAUAAUGAAAAUCGGGAUAAAACUUGAGAAAUUUGAAAUUGUGGAAAGUUUAUUUAAUUGGUUCAAGCAGUCUGGGGGUGAGCCUAGUAUUGUAAUGUACACUACUGUUGUUCACAGUCGUUACUGUAAUGAAAAAUACAGGGAGGCUUUGGCUCUUGUUUGGGAAAUGGAAGCUUCAAGUUGUCUACUUGAUCUUCCAGCUUACCGUGUAGUUAUCAGGCUUUUUGUUGCUUUAAAAGAUGUUUCACGAGCUGCAAGAUACUUUUCCAAACUAAAGGAGGCAGGUUUCUCUCCAACUUAUGGCAUUUACAGAGACAUGAUCAAAGUUUAUGUAGAAUCAGGAAGGCUGGCCAAGUUCAAGGAGGUCUGUAGGGGGGCUGAGACAGCGGGAUUUAAGCUAGAUAAAGAAACAAGGUCAAUUCUAUUGCAACUUGAAAGAUGAUUUAGAUAUUGAUGACAUGAGAAAAGAGGUUGAGGUGAUGAACCAUAGGCACAAGCAUCCGAACAUUUUGAGCUUGAAGGACAUGUACGAGGAUGAAAGAGCUGGCUACAUUUUGAAGGAAUCAGGUAAAAGAAGGCAGCUGUUUAAUCAGCAAAAGGACAUUACAUUGAACCGAGCCGUUGCAAGAGUUAGGCGGAGUGGCGGACAAUUAUGAAAGUUGUGCAGGUUUAGUGUUUAGAAAUGAAAUGUCUUUAAUCUUGUGUAAAGUUGAUGCUUGCUUCAGUGCCUAAUGUUUAGAGACACAUAUUUCAUCACUGAUUUUUUUUGUUUGGAUAAUUCACUCUGAUUAGUUUUAAUUUAUGCUUAGUUAUUUACUAUGCUUAGCAGUUCAUUCACGGUUUGUAAGGGUUAGAUCUAUUCAAUGAGUAAACCUUCUUGGGACUAAAUAAUAGCUUGUUUGCUCCUAUACUUUUAGAUGUAUUACAGAAUGGGUGGAUGUAUCAAGAUUUAAACCCUAAUAUUUCCUAUUUGCAAACAAGAAGGAAACAGCUUCCCUAAAGGCUAGUAAUUGUGGGCUGUCAGAUGUCUUCAAACCUGGUGAGUCCUUGAUGAGAAUUGAGAUAGUAGGAAGUCCUUAAUACAUGGCCCCGAGGUUCAAAGGCGCAACUAUGGUCCAGAGGUUGAUCUAAGGAGUGCUGGUGUUAUCCUUCACAUUCUGCUUUGUGCACUGUGGAGUCCCACCUUUCUGGACAGAUGGAGUUGGCAGGUGAAGGAAAGAAUUCACAUUGUGAUGAAGAAAUUCUGGAGUCUUGAGCUCGACUUUCCGUUUGAUUGUACAGGAGCAUCAGGGGGUGAAGAAUUUGCUGCUAUAUAUGAUGAAGGCUGGCACAGAUUGGAGAAGAGGCAUCCAGGCAAUAUUGUUGUGAAAGGUACAAUACUAUCAGCUUGAGGUUGAUGAGAGGAUACCUUCUUCAGGCAUGAAGGCGGUUUAAUACAUUUAGCUUUUGAAACGGAACAAAAUAAAUAGGUAGCAGAGAUGGCAAGAAAAAUGGCGAAACAGUGACUACUUUUUUUUUCUGAUUCACCAAGUUACAGUAUCAUAUUUCUCUCUUCCCUAUGACGGAUCUCAAUUGGUUGUCGGAUAGCUGCUGCAUGUAGGUAGUUUUGUUAUCUGCAAUAUAGUCGUAGAAUGGAGGGGAAGAUGAGAAUUGAGAUGAUAACAAAACUAUAUUGAGAUGAUUCCAAGACUAUGCUUUUGUUGAUGAUAUACUCCUACCACGACCAUUUUUA